GAUGAACGCUGGCGGCGUGCUUAACACAUGCAAGUCGAACGGAAAGGCCAGUGCUUGCACUGGUACUCGAGUGGCGAACGGGUGAGUAACACGUGGGUGAUCUGCCCUGCACUUCGGGAUAAGCCUGGGAAACUGGGUCUAAUACCGGAUAGGACAAUGGUUUGGAUGCCGUUGUGGAAAGUUUUUUCGGUGUGGGAUGAGCUCGCGGCCUAUCAGCUUGUUGGUGGGGUAAUGGCCUACCAAGGCGUCGACGGGUAGCCGGCCUGAGAGGGUGUACGGCCACAUGUGGACUGGGAUACGGCCCAGACUCCGACGGGAGGCAGCAAUGGGGAAUAUUGCACAAUGGGCGCAAGCCUGAUGCAGCGACGCCGCGUGGGGGAUGACGGCCUUCGGGUUGUAAACUCCUUUCGCUAGGGACGAAGCGUAUUUGUGACGGUACCUGGAGAAGAAGCACCGGCUAACUACGUG
rnacentral:rRNA from 1 species